CUUGCACCUGGAUUCUCCACACAGGGCCCUGGUCUUGGUGCAUAAACAGCUCUCCUCUCCUGCCAACACUGUGAGCCUCUCCUUGGACCCCAACCCUGGGUCUCGGCCAGCAGCUCCUACAACACCUCUGUGCCACCAGGGGCCUGAGGCUCAAGGAAGCCGCCCUUGCACGAAAACUGCCUUACUGCCUUUGCUCCAGAUCUGCCUGCUGUGCCUCCAGGGGCUGCUGGCUGGACAUUUGCUGUUUCAACAGUAUAUACUAUCCCCCUCACCUCCCCCCACUCUCCCAAGCCUCCAACAUAGUCUGCUUCUAAGCCUCAGGCCCCAGCCCCGGGUCUCCUCUCCUUCCCUCCAACUUUCACCCCUUCAAACUAGAAGAUGUUCAUGAUGUCCAGGAUCUGCUCUACUCCUCCCAUGAGGUUUUGCUACUUUCUCAGGAAUCUGAGUUACCGCUUUCUUUCAUUCUGUACCACUUACUCUCAGUCAGACAGAAAUUCCUUGAAGUUUUCUGACAUUUGCUUGGCACCCUUACCCAGCUUCUAGCAUGAAUGCAGACUUCUCCCAUUUUUAUGGCUCUUCUAGAACUUAAUUUAGAGUUGUAAAGAAGGGCCAUGUUACCCUAAAGACUGAGUGUCCCAUUUUUUUUCUUGUUCAACCUUUCUUCAGUGAAGAAUUUCAACUUUGAAACACAACUUUUCCUGUUUGUAGUUGUGAGAGAGGGUAAUAUUGAACUUUUUUUUUUUUUUUUGCAAAAUGUUCAAAUUGGAGCCUCAGUCAAAUCCUGCUCUGACCACACCCAGGGGAAAUGGAGAAGCUGUAAUGAACAGAACUGUCCCAGGGAAAAGAACACAGGAGGAUGAAAUGGGAAUGGUUUCUCCUGGGUGAUGCAGGGUCCGAGCAAGUCAGGGCUUCUGAAGGAGGCUGCCUUCAAGGGCUCUGACUUGCCUGCCCUGUGGGCCAAAGCCUGCUUUAGCCGCAAGUUUACUAUGCAGAGACAGAAAAGGAAAUUCAUCAACAGAGAUAAUGUCAUGUGUAUGGCCACUGCCAAGAAGGAGAGCCAGAAUCUCUCUCUGGUCGGGCUUCUCCUCGGCCUUUCCUUGUCACAAGGGUGGAGCCCAGCCAGGUGAACCAACCUGACCACCGCCCUGUGUGUGAGCCCGUGGGUGGCUUGUGGAAGCAUGUCCUUGCAGGGCUCCUAUGGUUCCUCCUCAGCCUGAAUGAGGACGCCCACUGUCAUCAAGCCAGGUUUGCAGGCGAAGUUCCUGUCCCAUGCAGACACACAACUUGUAGCUUCCUUGGGAGGGUGGAGGGUGUGGGAAGUGACUCUUUCCAAACAUUUCCAUCUUAUUUUCUCCUCUGAUGCCCAUCCAGGCAACCUGCAUUGCAUAUGUUCUUUGAGGUCCAGAGGCUGGCAGGAAAAGGUUCUACAGGGCCUACACGAGGAUGGAACCACAGAGCAUCACUUAGGGCUCAUCACUUUGGCUUAGACUCAAGGCUGACUAGGACUGCUGACCAUACCUUGCUUACUGUCAGGAAGUCUUCCCUGACUGCACCCAUGAUUGCCUCGGGUGCCUACUGACUGAUGAAUGGCUCUGACUUGGGAACCUUUUGCUCUAGAACACAGUGCCUCUGGGAGCAGAGAACUUCUCGGGCCUGGCGAGACCAAUCUGAGGAACUGGCUGGCACGAGGCAUGAAUGAGCGCCUGGAUGCCCGGUACUUCGGCACAGAACUGCUGGCUAUUGAGUGUUCGGUCAGCUUUUGUCACCAUGGGAGUCAGGCUCUCUCACUGCAGCCACUGCGAACAGGAAUCCCCACCAGGCUUUCCCCGCUGAGCAGCAGAAUCUGAUGUAAACCUCUAAGCAGAGUGACUUGAGUGUCACCAGUCUCUGAAACAUUUCCGAGAGAGAAGCGAGUGAUUGAGCAUCUAUGUGUGUACAUGCUUCUUUCUGUUGCUAAAACACCAGUUUUCUCAUGGAAAAGCCUGUGAACCACUGAGUUAAAACAGGAGCAGACGGUGCUUUGUGACCACCUGGAGGGGUGGGAUAGGGAGGGUGGGAGGGAGGC